GAUGAAGAACGCAGCGAAAUGCGAUACGUAGUGUGAAUUGCAGAAAUCAGUGAAUCAUCGAAUCUUUGAACGCACAUUGCACCUCUCGGUAUUCCGGGAGGUAUGCCUGUUCGAGCGUCAUUUGUACCCUCAAGCUCUGCUUGGUGUUGGGUGUUUGUUCCGCCUCUGUGUGUGAACUCGCCUCAAAACAAUUGGCAGCCGGCGUACUUGUUUCGGAGCGCAGCACAUUUUGCGAUCCAGAUCAACGUACAGCGGCAUCCAAGAAGCCUUAUUUAACGCUCUUGACCUCGGAUCAGGUAGGGAUACCCGCUGAACUUAAGCAUAUCAAUAAGCGGAGGA
rnacentral:misc_RNA from 1 species